UACGGAGACCUCGAGCGUUACUCGGAUUCACUGGGCGUAAAGGGUCCGCAGGUGGACUGGUGUGUCAAGGGUGAAAUCCCGGGGCUUAACUCCGGAACUGCCUUUGAAACUAUCAGACUAGAGACUCGGAGAGGUGAGCAGAAUUCCAGGUGUAGCGGUGAAAUGCGUAGAUAUCUGGAGGAAUACCAAAUGCGAAGGCAGCUCACUGGACGAGAUCUGACACUCAGGGACGAAAGCGUGGGGAGCAAAAGGG
rnacentral:rRNA from 1 species